GCGCCAUGACAACCCUGGAUGACAAGUUGCUGGGGGAGAAAUUGCAGUACUACUACAGCACCAGUGAGGAUGAGGACAGUGACCAUGAAGACAAAGACAGAGGCAGGGGAGCCCCAGCCAGUAGUUCCACGCCUGCGGAGGCUGAGCUGGCAGGCGAAGGCAUUUCAGUCAAUACAGGUCCAAAAGGGGUGAUCAAUGACUGGCGCCGCUUCAAGCAGUUGGAGACAGAGCAGAGGGAGGAGCAGUGCCGGGAGAUGGAGCGGCUGAUCAAAAGCUGUCUAUGAGCUGCCGGUCCCAUCUGGAUGAAGAGGAGGAGCAGCAGAAACAGAAGGACCUCCAGGAGAAAAUCAGUGGGAAGAUGACUCUGAAGGAGUGUGGUAUGAUGGACAAGAAUUUGGAUGAUGAAGAGUUUCUGCAGCAGUAUCGGAAGCAGAGGAUGGAAGAAUUACGGCAGCAGUUUCAUAAAGGGCCUCAAUUCAAGCAAGUGCUUGAGAUCCCCAGUGGAGAAGGAUUUUUACAUAUGAUUGAUAAAGAACAGAAAAGCACCCUUAUCAUGGUUCAUAUUUAUGAAGAUGGUGUCCCAGGGACUGAAGCCAUGAAUGGCUGCAUGAUCUGCCUUGCCGCAGAGUACCCCACUGUCAAAUUCUGCCGAGUGAGGAGCUUGGUUAUUGGGGCCAGCAAUCGUUUUACCCGGAAUGCCCUUCCUGCUCUGCUCAUCUACAAGGCGGGUGAAUUGAUUGGCAAUUUUGUUCGUGUCACUGACCAGCUGGGCGAAGAUUUCUUUGCUGUAGACCUUGAAGCUUUCCUGCAGGAAUUUGGAUUGCUCCCAGAAAAGGUCUUGGUGCUGACAUCUGUGCGAAACUCUGCCACCUGUCACAGUGAAGACAGCGAUCUAGAAAUAGAUUGAACUGAUAAUCUAGUUCUGUAGCUGUCUCAUUGUUUGGGCUAGAGGACACAUGUCUGUAUUUAUUUCUGUCCUUCCUGUCUUCUGGCUUUACAGCUGUUCUUUGUAGUCUGGUUUAGUAUGUGGAAAGUCAAGAAACUCAGAUUAAAUCAGAAUCCUGACUCACUUUGUGGCUAGCAGUAAAGCGAUUUCUAAUUAUAUAAACAGGAAGCUGGGUUCUUGAGCUGUUUACAUCUCUAGCGUGACAUCUCUGAAAUUGUUUCCAGUCAAUAUUGACAUGGCACCCUUGAAGGCAAUGUCUUGAAAAUUGUCUUCUGAUGACCUCAGAAUUCCACCAGGUCUGAGAGUAGAAUUCCCUAGUGAGUGUGUUCUGUGCAGUGUAAACAGUGCAUUUCCAUAAUCACUUGAUUGCAAAUCAUGUUUACUUGCAAUCAGACUCAUAGCUGUACUUAUUUUCUCCAGAUCCUUCUCUACCAGGGUCCAUACAAGGUUGGGAAUAUAGCUCAGUGGUGAACUCUUAACCUAGCAUACACAUAGCUCCAAAGUAUCUGAUUCCCACCCAGCACUGUCAAAACUAAAGGUUCCAGAUGGUGCCUGAUGCUGUAGUUAGCAGUGGUCUCUGCUGUGGGAGUCACUGGUCCAGUCCAGCAUAAUGAAGUAUGAACAGGAAGGGAUGUUUUCUUGCUGACUGCUGUCAUGAUGUUGGGAAGCAGGCAUCCUAUUGACUGACACUGGUGUGUAUAGAGCUUGAAAACCUCAGUAGGAGGACCUUUCUGUAUCCUGCUCAUCAGCAUCUGUUCUGUUAUUUAGCAAGGUAAUGCUUUGUUUAACCUCAACUUUUUAAAAAGCUUUUUUUGCCUAUUAGAAAAAAAUUCAUAUUUGCUAGAGGAAAAUUGGCCAAAAUACAGAUGCAAAAAUGGUUUAAAAAUAUAAUUCUGCCACCUGAAUACUGUAUGUUUUGGUACCAUUCAUAUAUAGGGUUUUUUUUUUUUAUGUAUUCAUAGGCUUUGGUUUGUCUUUAAAUGACAUUGGGAUCAUUCUGAGCAUACUGUCAGAUAGUGUGAUCAGUUCCUAACAUCAGAAGUUUUUCAUGCUAUUAAAAACUCUUCUGUAAUGUUUUAAUAGCUGUUGAUAUUCCAUUGAUUUGCUGAAAUCUGCUUGGUGUUUGGAUUUUAGAAAGAUAGCAAACUUUUUAUUAUAAAUUUUCUAUUUUAAAACAUGUUUAUCAUAGAACAUAUAAUAAAAAUUAAGUUAAAAAGAUAUUUAAAAGCCAUAAAAUUUUACUACUGAUAAUUACUGUCACCAUUUUUACAGAUCUCUUUCUAGCUUUAUGUGUAUGUGUGUAUUUAUAAAAGUCAUCAUCAUUCAAGUUUGAUUACUCUUUAUAUGUUUAGUAUCGGGAAAAGAAAUGAAUCUGGAAGUAAGUAUUAGCUUUAGUUCACAUGUGAGUUUUUUGGUUGCUCAGAAGCUAGCAGGAAAUGAAUCCUGUUGGAGUUAAUCAACAAAAACAGUAUCAUUUUCUGACUAAGGAGCUCAUUGUAGAAGUGAAGACAAUCAUAGGAGCAGAGACAACUGAUGUCAAUAUUCUAGUUUUUUUUCCAGUUUUUUUCCCCAUUCUUAAUAACAUUGAUAGUUACUGAAUUCUGUGUUCUACUUUACGUAACAGUACAUAUUAAAAUACUUUGGUAUAUUGUAAAAGUUCUGAAUAAAUCAGUUGCUUUAUAAUUCACCAUCUAAAUAAACUAUACCAUAUUGACUCAGCCCGUAUAUCAGAUGUUUAAAUUCCCAGCAUUUUGCUAAAGCGUUUAACAUCUUUGUGAUUUGCACUGUGUUUUGCAUCAUUCAUAGUAUAGAUGUCUAGAAGAGUCACUGAAAAAAUUGGCAGAAACACUUAAAAAUUUUUUUCUUCACAAAAUAAUUUUGAUAAUUUCAUACACAGAUAUAAUACAUUUUGAUUAUAUUUACCAUACUGCUCUCUUGACAUCCACUCCUGCUGAUCUUCCUUCUCCCAAAUAGUUCUUAUUUCACUUUGAGGUCUUUUUGAGUUUGGAUGGUCCACUGAGUUUAGUUACAGUUGCUUACAGGAACAUGAGUAAGGGAUUAUAUUGACUGGAUCUGGGCAACUUACGAGCGGCUACACUACUAAAGGAAAUGUCUCCCCUGUCCUCAGCAACCAUUAACGGCCAAUAGCUCCUUAGGAAGGGGUGAGGCCUCAUGAGCCCUUCUUCCAUCCAUG
rnacentral:lncRNA from 14 species